CUCAUAGCGUAUAUUUAAGUUGUUGCAGUUAAAAAGCUCGUAGUCGGAUUUUGGCUGAGAACGAACGGUCCGCCGUUAGGUGUGCACUGUUUGGUCUCAGCUUCCUGGUGAGGAGGUGUGCUUCACGGCCACUUAGUCACCGUGGUUACUUUGAAAAAAUUAGAGUGUUCAAAGCGGGCUUACGCUUGAAUAUAUUAGCAUGGAAUAACACCAUAGGACUCCUGUCCUAUUUCGUUGGUCUCGGGACGGGAGUAAUGAUUAAGAGGAACAGUUGGGGGCAUUCGUAUUUCAUUGUCAGAGGUGAAAUUCUUGGAUUUAUGAAAGACGAACUUCUGCGAAAGCAUUUGCCAAGGAUGUUUUCAUUGAUCAAGAACGAAAGUUGGGGGCUCGAAGAUGAUUAGAUACCAUCCUAGUCUCAACCAUAAACGAUGCCGACUAGGGAUUGGCGGAUGUUAAUUGAUGACUUCGCCAGCACCUUAUGAGAAAUCAAAGUUUUUGGGUUCCGGGGGGAGUAUGGUCGCAAGGCUGAAACUUAAAGGAAUUGACGGAAGGGCACCACCAGGCGUGGAGCCUGCGGCUCAAUUUGACUCAACACGGGGAAACUUACCAGGUCCAGACAUAGUAAGGAUUGACAGAUUGAGAGCUCUUUCUUGAUUCUAUGGGUGGUGGUGCAUGGCCGUUCUUAGUUGGUGGAGUGAUU
rnacentral:rRNA from 1 species